UCUUCUGUUCCCUGGAGAACCAUUAACAAUCGCCUUUGUACUACCACCACCGUCAACAACAACGUCAAAAACAACCAAAUCUCUUUUACAAUCAAUAAACCGUCGAUUAGAUUUCAUACCUUCCUUCAUGAAACAAGGUUCAGUAAAUUUUGAGUUCUAGAUCUAGGUUUUUUAAUGGGUUUUCAGAGUUUUGAAGUUAAUGAUUUCGAGCGAAAUAGUGAUUGAUCGAGUGGAUUUUAAGUGUUUUUGGAGAUAAUGAGGUGUUAUUGAAGGAAAAACACAAAUUUCAGAGAGGUUGAAUCUCUUUCUCCAUCAAGGGAGCUUCAAUAAAGAUCAUGGUGAUUCAAAACGAUAAGUUCUUUAAACCCAAUUCCAUUUUUCAUUGCAUAGUCAUAUCUAUGUUGUUUAAUCGAAAUAUUGAAUUUAGGAUUCUGUAAAAUUGAUUUUAGGGUUUCGAGAGUUGGGAACUCUGUUUGAAACGUGAAUUUUUUAGGAGGAAGGGCAGAAUGAGAAUUUCGACACUGUAAUUAAGACGAAGAAGAUGAGGGGAAAGAGGGGGAAUUUAUGAGAUUAAUGGCUUAAGAAAAAAAUCAAAUUCAGAAGAUUCAGAUACAAGGUGGCAGGAGAGCAAAGAGAAGAAUUGUGCUAGUGGAAGUACAAGUAGAAGAAGAAGCAGAUGAAGACCACCUCCACAUUCUUUUUCUGUGGAGAAUAAAGAUAGGUAUCCUGGACAUACAACUGAAGCGAUUGCAGAGUCUUUCCCAAUUUGUCGUGGAAGCUGUAAUUGCAAAACCAUGAUUGCGUUUUGGCAACAUGUCUAAGGAUUUGAAGAGCCAGAAAAUGAAGAUGGAGGCAGAAGAGAGACUUAAAUAUUGUAAAUAUUUGUUACAAGCUCUUUUACCAGUCUUAAAUCAAAUCCACGAAGAGCAAGUAAUGGAAAAGGAGAUCGAGGCAAAGAUUCAAUGUGUCUGGCUUAAGCUUGUUCAUCAUUCACCCUUUUUAUAUUGUCCGUUUUUGAGUUAAGAAAUAUGUUUCUUUACUUAGGAUAAAUAUUCUCCAAGAUCAAAGUAAUGUAUGUUGGAAAGUGCUGGGUUAAGCUCAUGCUUUUUUUAUGUCAGUCAACUGUUUAUGGUCUUUCCAGUUAUUUGUAGUUAUCUCACUACCUUCAUGUUCUUUUAUCUAGAAAAUGGGCCUUACAGUUGAGAGUGUACGAGACUGCAAUCGAGCUGUUGUAUGUCUUCCUUCCUACACAAAGGAAAUGUAUCGACUGACCUUAAGCGAUAUGUUGAGAGAAUCUCAUUGGAGAACAAUUCUGGACACCUUGUUGCUGAUUCAAAUCCUACCUGGGUGGCUGCACACAGAUAUGAAUGUGGCGGUGUACAUUGGC